rnacentral:rRNA from 1 species
AUGAACGCUAGCUACAGGCUUAACACAUGCAAGUCGAGGGGCAGCAUUUUAGUUUGCUUGCAAACUGAAGAUGGCGACCGGCACACGGGUGAGUAACACGUAUCCAACCUGCCGAUAACUCCGGAAUAGCCUUUCGAAAGAAAGAUUAAUACCGGAUAGUAUACGAAUAUCGCAUGAUAUUUUUAUUAAAGAAUUUCGGUUAUCGAUGGGGAUGCGUUCCAUUAGUUUGUUGGCGGGGUAACGGCCCACCAAGACUACGAUGGAUAGGGGUUCUGAGAGGAAGGUCCCCCACAUUGGAACUGAGACACGGUCCAAACUCCUACGGGAGGCAGCAGUGAGGAAUAUUGGUCAAUGGGCGAGAGCCUGAACCAGCCAAGUAGCGUGAAGGAUGAAGGCUCUAUGGGUCGUAAACUUCUUUUAUAUGGGAAUAAAGUUUUCCACGUGUGGAAUUUUGUAUGUACCAUAUGAAUAAGGAUCGGCUAACUCCGUGCCAGCAGCCGCGGUAAUACGGAGGAUCCGAGCGUUAUCCGGAUUUAUUGGGUUUAAAGGGAGCGUAGGUGGAUUGUUAAGUCAGUUGUGAAAGUUUGCGGCUCAACCGUAAAAUUGCAGUUGAAACUGGGAGUCUUGAGUACAGUAGAGGUGGGCGGAAUUCGUGGUGUAGCGGUGAAAUGCUUAGAUAUCACGAAGAACUCCGAUUGCGAAGGCAGCUCACUAGACUGUCACUGACACUGAUGCUCGAAAGUGUGGGUAUCAAACAGGAUUAGAUACCCUGGUAGUCCACACAGUAAACGAUGAAUACUCGCUGUUUGCGAUAUACAGUAAGCGGCCAAGCGAAAGCAUUAAGUAUUCCACCUGGGGAGUACGCCGGCAACGGUGAAACUCAAAGGAAUUGACGGGGGCCCGCACAAGCGGAGGAACAUGUGGUUUAAUUCGAUGAUACGCGAGGAACCUUACCCGGGCUUAAAUUGCAACAGAAUAUAUUGGAAACAGUAUAGCCGUAAGGCUGUUGUGAAGGUGCUGCAUGGUUGUCGUCAGCUCGUGCCGUGAGGUGUCGGCUUAAGUGCCAUAACGAGCGCAACCCUUAUCUUUAGUUACUAACAGGUCAUGCUGAGGACUCUAGAGAGACUGCCGUCGUAAGAUGUGAGGAAGGUGGGGAUGACGUCAAAUCAGCACGGCCCUUACGUCCGGGGCUACACACGUGUUACAAUGGGGGGUACAGAAGGCGGCUACCUGGUGACAGGAUGCUAAUCCCAAAAACCUCUCUCAGUUCGGAUCGAAGUCUGCAACCCGACUUCGUGAAGCUGGAUUCGCUAGUAAUCGCGCAUCAGCCAUGGCGCGGUGAAUACGUUCCCGGGCCUUGUACACACCGCCCGUCAAGCCAUGAAAGCCGGGGGUACCUGAAGUACGUAACCGCAAGGAGCGUCCUAGGGUAAAACUGGUAAUUGGGGCU